rnacentral:rRNA from 1 species
UUAAGCGACUAAGCGUACACGGUGGAUGCCUAGGCAAUCAGAGGCGAUGAAGGACGUGCUAAUCUGCGAAAAGCGUCGGUAAGGUGAUAUGAACCGUUAUAACCGACGAUGUCCGAAUGGGGAAACCCAGUGCAAUUCGUUGCACUAUCGUUUGAUGAAUCCAUAGUCAAACGAAGCGAACCGGGGGAACUGAAACAUCUCAGUACCCCGAGGAAAAGAAAUCAACCGAGAUUCCCCUAGUAGCGGCGAGCGAACGGGGAGCAGCCCAGAGUCUUAAUCAGCAUCAGCAUCAGGAGAACGGUCUGGAAAGGCCGGCAAUAAAGGGUGAUAGCCCCGUAUCCGAAGGUGUUGGUGUUGUGAACUCGACGAGUAGGGCGGGACACGUGUUAUCCUGUCUGAAUAUGGGGGGACCAUCCUCCAAGGCUAAAUACUCCUGAUUGACCGAUAGUGAACCAGUACCGUGAGGGAAAGGCGAAAAGAACCCCGGCGAGGGGAGUGAAAUAGAACCUGAAACCGUGUACGUACAAGCAGUGGGAGCCUUGAUUUAUCAGGGUGACUGCGUACCUUUUGUAUAAUGGGUCAGCGACUUAUAUUCUGUAGCAAGGUUAACCGUAUAGGGGAGCCGUAGGGAAACCGAGUCUUAACUGGGCGAAUGAGUUGCAGGGUAUAGACCCGAAACCCGGUGAUCUAGCCAUGGGCAGGUUGAAGGUUGGGUAACACUAACUGGAGGACCGAACCGACUAAUGUUGAAAAAUUAGCGGAUGACUUGUGGCUGGGGGUGAAAGGCCAAUCAAACCGGGAGAUAGCUGGUUCUCCCCGAAAGCUAUUUAGGUAGCGCCUCGUGAACUCAUCUUCGGGGGUAGAGCACUGUUUCGGCUAGGGGGUCAUCCCGACUUACCAACCCGAUGCAAACUACGAAUACCGAAGAAUGUUAUCACGGGAGACACACGGCGGGUGCUAACGUUCGUCGUGAAGAGGGAAACAACCCAGACCGCCAGCUAAGGUCCCAAAGUCAUGGUUAAGUGGGAAACGAAGUGGGAAGGCUCAGACAGCCAGGAUGUUGGCUUAGAAGCAGCCAUCAUUUAAAGAAAGCGUAAUAGCUCACUGGUCGAGUCGGCCUGCGCGGAAGAUGUAACGGGGCUAAACCAUGCACCGAAGCUGCGGCAGCGACAUGUAAAUGUUGUUGGGUAGGGGAGCGUUCUGUAAGCCUGUGAAGGUGUGCUGCGAGGCAUGCUGGAGGUAUCAGAAGUGCGAAUGCUGACAUAAGUAACGAUAAUGCGGGUGAAAAACCCGCACGCCGGAAGACCAAGGGUUCCUGUCCAACGUUAAUCGGGGCAGGGUGAGUCGACCCCUAAGGCGAGGCAGAAAUGCGUAGUCGAUGGGAAACAGGUUAAUAUUCCUGUACUGGUGAUAAUUGCGAUGGGGGGACGGAGAAGGCUAGGCUGGCCGGGCGACGGUUGUCCCGGUUUAAGGAUGUAGGUGGGCGAAUUAGGCAAAUCCGGUUCGCUAUACACUGAGGUCUGAUGACGAGUCACUACGGUGGCGAAGUAGCUCAUGCCCCGCUUCCAGGAAAAGCCUCUAAGCUCUAGAUUAUCAUUAAUCGUACCCCAAACCGACACAGGUGGUCAGGUAGAGAAUACUCAGGCGCUUGAGAGAACUCGGGUGAAGGAACUAGGCAAAAUGGUGCCGUAACUUCGGGAGAAGGCACGCUGGCGCUAGGUGAAGUGGUUUACCCAUGGAGCUGAAGCCAGUCGCAGAUACCAGCUGGCUGCAACUGUUUAUUAAAAACACAGCACUGUGCAAACACGAAAGUGGACGUAUACGGUGUGACGCCUGCCCGGUGCUGGAAGGUUAAUUGAUGGGGUUAUCCGUAAGGAGAAGCUCUUGAUCGAAGCCCCAGUAAACGGCGGCCGUAACUAUAACGGUCCUAAGGUAGCGAAAUUCCUUGUCGGGUAAGUUCCGACCUGCACGAAUGGCGUAAUGAUGGCCAGGCUGUCUCCACCCGAGACUCAGUGAAAUUGAACUCGCUGUGAAGAUGCAGUGUACCCGCGGCAAGACGGAAAGACCCCGUGAACCUUUACUAUAGCUUGACACUGAACAUUGAGCCUUGAUGUGUAGGAUAGGUGGGAGGCUUUGAAGUGUGGACGCCAGUCUGCAUGGAGCCAACCUUGAAAUACCACCCUUUAAUGUUUGAUGUUCUAACGUUGCCCCGUGAUCCGGGGUGCGGACAGUGUCUGGUGGGUAGUUUGACUGGGGCGGUCUCCUCCCAAAGCGUAACGGAGGAGCACGAAGGUUGGCUAAGCAUGGUCGGACAUCAUGCGGUUAGUGCAAAGGCAUAAGCCAGCUUGACUGCGAGAGUGACGGCUCGAGCAGGUACGAAAGUAGGUCUUAGUGAUCCGGUGGUUCUGAAUGGAAGGGCCAUCGCUCAACGGAUAAAAGGUACUCCGGGGAUAACAGGCUGAUACCGCCCAAGAGUUCAUAUCGACGGCGGUGUUUGGCACCUCGAUGUCGGCUCAUCACAUCCUGGGGCUGAAGUAGGUCCCAAGGGUAUGGCUGUUCGCCAUUUAAAGUGGUACGCGAGCUGGGUUUAGAACGUCGUGAGACAGUUCGGUCCCUAUCUGCCGUGGGCGUUGGAAGAUUGAAAGGGGCUGCUCCUAGUACGAGAGGACCGGAGUGGACGCACCGCUGGUGUUCGGGUUGUCAUGCCAAUGGCACUGCCCGGUAGCUAAGUGCGGAAGAGAUAACCGCUGAAAGCAUCUAAGCGGGAAACUUGCCUUGAGAUGAGUCUUCCCUGACUCUUUAAGGGUCCUAAAGGAACGUUUAAGACGAAGACGUUGAUAGGCUGGGUGUGUAAGCGUAGCGAUACGUUGAGCUAACCAGUACUAAUGAACCGUGAGGCUUAACCUG